UGCAAGUCGAGCGGAAACGAACCUAGCUUGCUAGGAGGCGUCGAGCGGCGGACGGGUGAGUAAUGCAUAGGAAUCUGCCCGGUAGUGGGGGAUAACUUGGGGAAACUCAAGCUAAUACCGCAUACGCCCUACGGGGGAAAGCAGGGGAUCUUCGGACCUUGCGCUAUCGGAUGAGCCUAUGUCGGAUUAGCUAGUUGGUGAGGUAACGGCUCACCAAGGCGACGAUCCGUAGCUGGUCUGAGAGGAUGAUCAGCCACACUGGGACUGAGACACGGCCCAGACUCCUACGGGAGGCAGCAGUGGGGAAUAUUGGACAAUGGGCGAAAGCCUGAUCCAGCCAUGCCGCGUGUGUGAAGAAGGCUUUCGGGUUGUAAAGCACUUUCAGCGAGGAAGAAGGCUUGGCGGCUAAUACCUGCCAGGAAGGACAUCACUCGCAGAAGAAGCACCGGCUAACUCCGUGCCAGCAGCCGCGGUAAUACGGAGGGUGCAAGCGUUAAUCGGAAUUACUGGGCGUAAAGCGCGCGUAGGUGGCUUGAUAAGCCGGUUGUGAAAGCCCCGGGCUCAACCUGGGAACUGCAUCCGGAACUGUUAGGCUAGAGUGCAGGAGAGGAAGGUAGAAUUCCCGGUGUAGCGGUGAAAUGCGUAGAGAUCGGGAGGAAUACCAGUGGCGAAGGCGGCCUUCUGGACUGACACUGACACUGAGGUGCGAAAGCGUGGGUAGCAAACAGGAUUAGAUACCCUGGUAGUCCACGCCGUAAACGAUGUCGACUAGCCGUUGGGAGCCUUGAGUUCUUAGUGGCGCAGCUAACGCAAUAAGUCGACCGCCUGGGGAGUACGGCCGCAAGGUUAAAACUCAAAUGAAUUGACGGGGGCCCGCACAAGCGGUGGAGCAUGUGGUUUAAUUCGAUGCAACGCGAAGAACCUUACCUACUCUUGACAUCGUGCGAACUUGGUAGAGAUACCUUGGUGCCUUCGG
rnacentral:rRNA from 1 species